rnacentral:misc_RNA from 1 species
GCAGUUCUGAACAAAUUUCUUCAGCCUAUGCCAGUGUCUGCAGAAGAGUUUUUUCCUCAGUGGAGAUCACUUUCAGGGCCACCUCUGAAGCUUCAAGAAGUAGUUAGAGGUGUAAGACCAUUGCCUCUCGCAGAAAUGGCAAACCUAUUUAACAGUUUCCGGUUGAUGAUUUGUCCAGGACUUGAUCCAAAUCCUAAUAACUUGGUUGCAAGUACAACCUUCUACUCAGAAAGCACGAGGGCAAUGCUUUGCUUGAUAAGAAUUGA